rnacentral:rRNA from 1 species
UACGUAGGGUGCAAGCGUUGUCCGGAAUUAUUGGGCGUAAAGAGCUCGUAGGCGGUUUGUCGCGUCUGCUGUGAAAACUCAGGGCUUAACCCUGAGCCUGCAGUGGGUACGGGCAGACUAGAGUGUGGUAGGGGAGAUCGGAAUUCCUGGUGUAGCGGUGGAAUGCGCAGAUAUCAGGAGGAACACCGGUGGCGAAGGCGGGUCUCUGGGCCGAAACUGACGCUGAGGAGCGAAAGCGUGGGGAGCAAACAGG